rnacentral:rRNA from 1 species
AAUCAACGCUGGCGGCGUGCCUCAGACAUGCAAGUCGAACGAUUAAAGCUCUCUUCGGAGAGUGUAUAGAGUGGCGCACGGGUGAGUAACACGUAAGUAAUCUACCCUCGAGUGGGGAAUAACAACCGGAAACGGUUGCUAAUACCGCAUAAUGCAGCGGCACCGCAAGGUGACAGUUGUUAAAGAUUUAUCGCUUGAGGAGGAGCUUGCGGCAGAUUAGCUAGUUGGUAGGGUAACGGCUUACCAAGGCUACGAUCUGUAACCGGUCUAAGAGGACGGUCGGUCACACUGACACUGAAUAACGGGUCAGACUCCUACGGGAGGCAGCAGUCGGGAAUUUUGGGCAAUGGGCGAAAGUCUGACCCAGCAACGCCGCGUGAAGGAUGAAGUAUUUCGGUAUGUAAACUUCGAAAGAAUAGGAAGAAUUAAUGACGGUACUAUUUA